rnacentral:rRNA from 1 species
CGGCCGGGUCUCCGGUGCGCGAGCGCCGCCGGCUGCGGGAGACCGCGGCCGGAACGAACGAACGAACACCACACGGGGCGCGAUUGGCGCCAAGGAGAACGCGGAAAGAAGGACGCUCGCGGUGCCCCCCUGCGGAGGUGCUGGCUGGGCGUCCGCUCGAAAUCGUAACGAAACACGACUCUCGGCAACGGAUAUCUUGGCUCUCGCAUCGAUGAAGAACGUAGCGAAAUGCGAUACUUGGUGUGAAUUGCAGAAUCCCGUGAACCAUCGAGUCUUUGAACGCAAGUUGCGCCCGAGGCCACUAGGUCGAGGGCACACCUGCCUGGGCGUCACGCCCUCCCCCAUCUCUCCGCCCCCGACCCCCUCGCGCGCGACCCCUCGAUCGGAGGGUGCGUGGGGGUGUCCCGAGGUGCGAGCAGACUGGCCGCCCGUGCCUCCCGGGUGCGGUUGGCUGAAAGCCUUGGCCCGACGGCGGCGUGCGGCACGACAAGUGGUGGCUCGGCCCUCCCAGGCCACGAGUGUCUCGAUGUCGUGUUUGCGGAUUCGCCGCUCGAGGCCGCAGAGGACCCUAACCGUCCGCCUCCGCUCAGGGAGGCGUCGCUCGGACUGCGACCCCAGGUCAGGUGGGAUCACCCGCUGAGUUUA